CAAUCACUUGUCUUUUAAAUGGAGACCCGUAUGAAUGGCAUAACGAGGGCUUAACUGUCUCCUCUUUCAAGUCAAUGAAAUUGAUCUUUCCGUGCAGAAGCGGGAAUAUAAACAUAAGACGAGAAGACCCUAUGGAGCUUUAGACACUACAGCAGCCCACGUUAAGCACCCUGAAUAAAGGACUAAACCAAGUGGGCCCUGCCUUAAUGUCUUUGGUUGGGGCGACCGCGGGGAAUUAAAGAACCCCCACGUGGAGCGGGAAUACUUUUCCUACAACUAAGAGCUACAGCUCUAGUUAACAGAACUUCUGACCAGCAAGAUCCGGCACUGCCGAUCAACGGACCGAGUUACCCUAGGGAUAACAGCGCAAUCCUCUUUUAGAGCCCA
rnacentral:rRNA from 1 species